CCCCAGUGGGCACCAACUACGCAAUGGAAAGUUGGGACACAAGAACCUAUGAGUAACUGCACAUCCCCUAGACGGAUCCCUGCGUUAUCCAGCCCUCAGCGGCACCAAGAUCGAAGAAACGAACCGUCGAAGCAGCAUCGUGGACUGUGGAGACAAAAUCAUCACAAAUCCCUGGAGAGGGCAAACUCACGCUACCAAAGUGACCAGAAGCACGGAGGUAUGCAACCCUGGGGAGGGCAAACCGCAGACCCUGGAGAGGGCAAACUCACGCUACCGAGGUUGUCAGAAACACCGAGGUAUGCACGAGCCUGGAGAGGCGACGACUAAUACUCAACCUGGAGAGGCUACUCAACAAUUUUCCACCGGAAGACACUACAAGUCGGAAGGAUGGCUUACUCCCCGGACAAUUGGGUCAACUCCUUUACUUGUCAACCGGUACACCAAAAA